UACGGGGGGGGCAAGCGUUGUUCGGAAUUACUGGGCGUAAAGGGCUCGUAGGCGGCCAACUAAGUCAGACGUGAAAUCCCUCGGCUUAACCGGGGAACUGCGUCUGAUACUGGAUGGCUUGAGUUUGGGAGAGGGAUGCGGAAUUCCAGGUGUAGCGGUGAAAUGCGUAGAUAUCUGGAGGAACACCGGUGGCGAAGGCGGCGACCUGGUCCGAUACUGACGCUGAGGCGCGAAAGCGUGGGGAGCAAACAGG
rnacentral:rRNA from 1 species